GAUCAUGGCUCAGGAUGAACGCUAGCUACAGGCUUAACACAUGCAAGUCGAGGGGCAGCAUGGUCUUAGCUUGCUAAGGCCAAUGGCGACCGGCGCACGGGUAAGUAACACGUAUCCAACCUGCCGUCUACUCUUGGGCAGCCUUCUGAAAGGAAGAUUAAUACAAGAUGGCAUCAUGAGUCCACAUGUUCACAUGAUUAAAGGUAUUCCGGUAGACGAUGGGGA
rnacentral:rRNA from 1 species